CCAAGCCAGGGUGGGGGCCGUUGGUUGGUUGAUGCUUGGAUGGCUUCUUUGGAGACGAGGGUCUACAAAGGGGCUGGGAGCCGGAGCCAGAGAAUAUUUCGACUCCAAGCACUUUCUUCAUUUACUGAGAUUACCUACUUAGAUCUCUACCCCCAUCUCCACCCCCAACUGUGAACACUUGGAGCACAAGGACCACCACCGGUGCAUGACUGUGAUUUCAGCCUGCUGUAGAUGCUGAGGAAUUUUUAAAUGGGCGACUGGCACUUUUCCAUAUACAAACACACAGAUGGACAGAUGGACAGUGGAAAAAGGAGAGCAUGCAAAUUAGGAAAAAGUGAAGAUGAUAUUUAAAAAUUUAUGGAAUGUAACCAUUGAAAAAUAAUGAAAAAGAUACUUGUGGACAUGAACAAUUUCCAGUGCCUAUUGUAAAGUGAGACGAGGUCAUUGAAUUAAGAAGAUAAACUCUGCAUGCUCUGGGUACAUUGUCAACUCCUCUCCAUAUGUUCUCUGCCAGUGUCUAUCUAAGAAGGUCACUUCUUAGACCUGGAAGUCACUCCCCUUGCUUGGGAGAAGCAAGGAUCCUAAAGCUGAAAGAGACA